UACGGAGGGGGCAAGCGUUGUCCGGAUUUAUUGGGCGUAAAGAGCGUGUAGGCGGCCACACAGGUCAGCUGUGAAAACUCGAGGCUCAACCUCGAGACGUCGGUUGAAACCGUAUGGCUAGAGUCCGGAAGAGGAGAGUGGAAUUCCCGGUGUAGCGGUGAAAUGCGUAGAUAUCGGAAGGAACACCGGUGGCGAAGGCGGCUCACUGGCUCAUUUCUGACGCUCAGGCGCGACAGCGUGGGGAUCAAACAGG
rnacentral:rRNA from 1 species